GAAAUUAUUUUUCCAAAGUUUAAGAAGGUACGAAAAGUCAACCCUGAUCUAACAUACAAUUAUGUAACAGAGCUAGUAGCAGAUGUCUUCCAUCAGGCCUGUCCAAUUGUGAUAUAAUUUUGUCAAGGACCAUGAAGAUGCAUCUCAAUCCUCCAAUUUUUAUAUCUUGUCUGUGAUACUUGGCACCCCAUCCAUUGACUGACCUUAGCCUCAUAGUUAGUACACAUCUCUGUAAGUCCCAGCCAAUAGAACAGAAGAAAUGUUGGUCAACCAUGAGGUACCAUUGCAAAGAGAUAAGUGCUAAGGAAGAGCUAGAUCCGCAGUUUCCAUGCAGUAUCAAUAAUUACAGCCUGCAAUCUUGGUUUUUAGGAUCGCCAGGGCCCAAAGUAGUAAAACUCAAUGUAUUAUAACAUUGGGUGAAUGACCAUUUGUAUGAUUUUUAGAAAGACACAUCUUUUUGUGUUAAUUAAAAUAUUCCUUAUAAUCAAUAACAGACAAAAAAUUGCAGAAAUGGAUUCCGCCUGUGUACCAAGCAUCAUCUAAACAGGAAGAUGAAAGAAUGCACGAUGAUGAAACUCCCACAAUACUUACUGAUAAUAAUUGAAGUCACUACCUGAAGCAUUGUGCAAUUUAGAGAGAAGUUGCCUUGGACUUUGAAUUGAUAACAAUGAAGUGAAUUUCCUAUUUCCAAUGAUGCAUACUGCAGCCAAUUGAAUUUGCUAAACAACUGACAACAACAUCAUCAAAUA